AAAAAGGGCUUCUGUUAUGAUUGGAACACAUAGGGCAACUCUGUUCUUUAUGCAAAAUUUACAUCAAGAGAUUUUAGAAGCAUAAUAUUUUGGUAGGUGAGCAGCUGGUGAUGGUUGAUUUAAAAAUUUUUAAUGCUUAU
rnacentral:snRNA from 1 species